CUACGGGCUGCUGCAGUGAGGAAUUUUGCGCAAUGGGGGAAACCCUGACGCAGCAACGCCGCGUGAGUGAUGAAGGCUUUCGGGUCGUAAAGCUCUGUCAAGUGGGAAGAAACUGUUCCGUAUCAAUACUACGGUACAUUGACGGUACCAUUGAAGGAAGCACCGGCUAACUCCGUGCCAGCAGCCGCGGUAAUACGGAGGGUGCAAGCGUUAUUCGGAAUCACUGGGCGUAAAGGGCGCGUAGGCGGUUCGGUAAGUCAGAUGUGAAAGCCCGGGGCUUAACCCCGGAAGUGCAUUUGAAACUGCCCAACUUGAGUAUGGGAGAGGGAAGUGGAAUUCCUGGUGUAGAGGUGAUAUUCGUAGAUAUCAGGAGGAACACCGGUGGCGAAGGCGACUUCCUGGACCAAUACUGACGCUGAGGCGCGAGGGCGUGGGGAGCAAACAGGAUUAGAUACCCCAGUAGUC
rnacentral:rRNA from 1 species